UUCAGAUAGUGUCAUGGCUGUUCAAUUUGUGAAGAAAACUCACUAUGUAUUCAGUGUUGGAAAGGACCGCCUUGUAAAGUAUUGGGAUGCUGACAAAUUUGAGUUACUUUUAACGCUCGAGGGACAUCAUGCUGAUGUUUGGUGUCUUGCUAUCAGCAACCGUGGUGAUUUCAUAGUCACAGGAUCUCAUGAUCGAUCCAUACGUCGCUGGG
rnacentral:misc_RNA from 1 species